UUGAUUUUGUCCCCCCCCCCCUCUUCAAUGUGUUUUAUAUAAAAUCCAAUCUUAGGGUUUUUUUUAUUAUUAUUAUUGCGACACAUGAUUGACUAGCAAGGAGCCCGCUGCGGUGACGUCAGAGCAGGGCAGAUGUGCGCGCGAGCGACGCGCUUCCAGGCACGUGCACUCGUUGACAACAUUUAACGCCAGAUCACGUUGCGUCGCUCGGGUGCGCGCCUGCUGCGUCAUGAAGUGAUAUUCACGUGAAACGCGAGCUGAACAGAAACCCUGGUACGUAUGUGGACAGCGUGUUUUGUGUAUAUUUCGAGCUCGAUGGCGUGGAGAUGUGUAUUUGUUGUUGUUGUUUUUCUAACCCCAUUAUUGUCAUGCACGUACACGGUGCGUUUGGGUCGCGCGAAGAGUGAGGGGUGUGUGCGCGAGCGCUCGAGAGAGCGACUUGGGCGUUAGCGCGCGCUGUUUACGGGAUGAGCUCGUGCAGGAAUGACGCUUCCCCGCAUGGAUGCACGUUUGUGCUACUAUUUAUUGUACAUAUAAUAUAUAUAUAAAAAUAUAGUGUUUGGGUACUUUCCAGCUCCUAACCCCCCAAACACCCUGUCAUGCUUUAUUUAUCAGGUUCUAACCUCCAACUGCAUGGCAUUCCAGCAUGCUUUUUUAUUCUAAUACAAGCUAGAACGCUUCAAUUAGCAUUGCCCAGGCGCCACAUGGCAUCCAGAGAUAGCGUUUCGUUUUGUUGUCAUUGUGAUUGCAUUGCUUGAUCACUAUAAAGACUAAAAACCAGGAGAUCCACGCAUUAAAACUCUUAUUUAAAUGCUUGAGGAGAAAGUAUUGGUUUCUUCUCUCCUUGUGAAAAUGUGGCGCAGAUAGGUUAGGGAGAUAUUAGGUCAUUUUGGCAGACUCUGACGCCGUCUCGUGACAAGCAAGGAG